ACCCUGCCUACAGUCUACACUUACCUCUCAUCUCUGAUCUAUAUUAGCAAUAAGAAUUGAGUUUCUUAGCCCAGGCACGGUCACUCAUGCCUAUAAUCCCAGCAUUUUGGGAGGCCGAGGUGGGCUGAGGUCAGAAGUUCAACACCAGCCUGGCCAAGAUGGUGAAACCCCAUCUCUACUAAAAAUACAAAAAUUAGCCAGAUGUGGUGGUGCAAGCCUGUAAUCUCAGCUACUCGGGAGGUUGAGGCUGGAGAAUUGCUUGAACCUGGGAGGAGGAGGUUGCAGUGAGCCAAGAUUGUGCCACUAUACUCCAGUCUGGGUGACAGAGCAAGACUCCGUCUCAAAAAAAAAAAGACUAGAGUUUCUCAGAAUGAGUUCUGUGGACCACAGGCAUUGCUAUGGUUUGAAUGUGUCCCUUUUAAAAUUCAGGUAUUGCCAAUUUGGUAGUAUUACAUGGUGGGGCCUUUAAGAGGUGAGUAGGCUAUGAGGGUUCCUUUCUUGUGAAGGGGGUUGGUGCCCUUACAAGAGGAUGGGAUGGUGGGAGUUUAUCUCUUUUCUCCCUUUUGCCUUGCAUCAUGUGAAGACACAGCAUUUAUCCUGUCCAUAGGGCACAGACUUCAAGAUGUCAUCUUGGAAGCAGAGACUGGACCUUCACCAGACUCAAAACCUACCAGUACCUUGAUCCUAAACGUCUUUCCCGGCUCCAGAACUGUGAGAAAACACUUCCAAGAUAUGACGAGAGCGACUUUCCAUUUAUCUUCUAUGGAAAUUCAUUCUGCAGGAGUGGCACUGUCAGCUUAAGAGACACAAGCUAUUGUCUUGCAGCUAAAAAAAAAAAGGUAUUACUGCUUUCUGUACUUAUUAUAUGGAAAGACAAAAGCUAAUUCAUUGUUAACGUUUCUGUUUGCCAGAGACAGAGAAGUACUAUCUCAUGUUCUUUUACAAAAGUUUGGUUAAUAUUGUGAGGAGAUAUUUGGCCUUUAUACAGGUAAAACUUGUGGAAGGAUGAGAGGGAUAUGGGAGGUACAGUGAGUACUGAAACCCUGAAGAGUUUGUAUUGCAAAGAAUGCAAAAUUUAACUGACUAAAGUAACACACAAAUAACCAUUAUCUAUUCAUUUACAAGUUCCUGUGUUUAUCAUUUAUUUUUAACCUUAGGCUUGUAGACUCAACCUACAAAAGCUGUCAGUUCAGUCACUACAAAACAAAAACCAAAUGAAAAGCUAGAAGCUUACAAUUUAUAUAUAGGGGCACUAGGUAGCAGAAUUUGCCUCAGUCAUAUACACUUGAUGUUAUUCAUCAAUUAUCUAGAUUAAAGUUAGAAACUUUAUUUUACAUUAUUAUUAAAGAAUAUAUCAAAGCAGAUUAAUAUAAAUAAGACAAAAUGGAGAGUACAUUCAAUAUGGUUUUUGAGAGUAAUAGUUAAGCUUUGUACCUUACAUCCACGGUAUAAUGCAUACUUUCACACCAACUUCUAGUAUUUACUUCUUAGAUAGAAAAUUCUAGCUCCUUUAUUUAAUUUCAGAAUCCCAACACUUGGUUCUAGGCCAAUAUUACUUUAUUUGGAACCAAAAAAUGUGUACACUCUAUUAGAAUUAUUUGCAAAGUUUAUCUUCAAUAUAUAUUCUCUCAUUUAACAUUGACCUAAUUACUGGCUAUAAGGAAUACGCUUUUCUGUGUUUCCCUCCUCCCUCUUUUCCAAAUACCAUUUUUCUCAGUAUUACAGAAGCAGAAUGGGAAUAAUCUUAUUAAACACCUCUGUGCCAAGUUUUCUACUGCCAUUGCCCUCACACUAUCUAAUGUGCAGUAGGGCAAACCAUGUAACAUCUGCGGAUGUCCCUAUCUUCAGGAAGUCUUGAAGCAUAGAGAGGAGGCUAUAUUCUAGAAUUGCUAAGGUCCCUUAUGGUUUAAGGUAUAUGAUUCAAGAGAAGAAAAUAUGCUUUUCCUUUAUGGAAGAGAACAAUUUCUCAUAUCCAUUUUCAUCCAUCCAUGCUAGAUGGAUAUUACCGUGAUUUCUCCAUAUCAUGAUAUAAUACUUUGAAAGCAGUAAUGCACCCAUACAGUUAGUCCUUGGUAUUGAGUUUUCAGAAAUUCUUUUCAGAAAUGGUUUGUACAUGCGUAUCCCACAUUAGUAUAAUGAUCUAUUUAUGAGUCUGUUUUCUCUAAUAUUCCUCAAAACACAUUAGAUCAAGGAACACAGUGUUUUGUAUUUUGAUUCCAUUAUGGUACUUAUAAUCAGUGAUGACUAAGGUUUCAGGGAGAACAGCAUAUUUUUAUAACAAGUUUAGAGAAGCACGCAGAACCUGGAGUAAGUACAGACUUCAUUGUUGACCUAAUCUGUAAGAACAUUCUCCUUACAGGUUUUUCCAUGAGGUCUGUAUAAAACGGUACUUAAAAAUAGCAAUGUAUUUAUUUAUUAAUUGUGUGUUUCCCAUAUUCUUCACAGGCCUACCUGACUACUAUAAGAAUUUGGACUGAAAAAAAGGAAUUAAAUUUACUACUUAGUGUUUCUAUAAUUCGAACCCAAAGAACAAACUAUUAACCCAAAUGAUAUGAUCAAGAAAGUUCCUAUUUUUCAUGUAGGUUUUUGAGAUGCUGGAAAUAGCUUUUCAGUCUCAUUUCAACUGAAAAUAUCUUGAGGGCCUAUAUAACCAAGGUGGAAGCCUAUCAUUUAUCAGAGUAGAAAACUAAGGUUAGUAAUUUACUAAAGGUAACAAGAGUAACCAGUGGUAGUAUCACAUGUCUCCUCCCUAUUGCCUGUCUUCAGUCCUAGAAAAAUAGGAAGUCAUCGUAAACUUCUUGUGAUCUCUUGGAUCUUCUGUGAACUCUUGGAUUAUCCUCAUAUAUAUGUCACCUCUCCUCAAUAAACAGACAACUCUACUGUAUUAUUAGUUCAGUGUCUCUUCAUUUUUUUCUCCCCCAGCUUUUUGUUGGUCUUCCUGACCGUUGGUCUUUAACAAACUCUUCCAAAAUCACCUCUGACCUCCCCUUGAAAUUAUGCAGCUUACCACUGUGUUCCCACAGCACAUUCUUUUCAUGAUAGUAAUGUUGACUGUACAUUAGUAUAAUGAUUUAUUUAUGGGCUCAUUUUCUCUAAUAUUCCUCAAACCACAUUAGAUAGGGGAACACACUGUUUUGUAUUUUGAUUCUGUUAUGGUGUUUGUAAUCAGUGAUGAAUAAAUAUAUGUGGGCUAUGUGUCCAUACAAAAUGAAGGUGAGUAGGAUUAUUUAAACAUUUGGCAGUUGGGAGAAGCAUGGACUUUCUCACUAUUUUUCCAAAUGUGAUCCUACAGGAGUAUUCUUUGUAUCUUGGUGAAGAUAAGUUGAACAAUAGCAACAAGUCCUGGUUCCAAUACUUGGAUAUAAAUUGAUGAAAGCCAUUUUUCAAAGAGGAAAGUUUUCUACUGUAUUAUUUAAGAAACAUUAGGGAUUUGAGAGGAGGAGUAAAUUUAUUUUUGGUUUAAAGCGACAAUUUUCCAGAGCAUAGUGGCUCAUACCUGUAAUCCCAGCACUUUGGGACACUGAGGCAGGAGGAUCACUGGAACUCAGGAGUUUGAGACCAGCCUGGGUAACAAAGUGAGACCCUGUCUCUACAAAACAAAAAAAAUAUUUUAUCUGGAUGUGGUGCCAUGCACCUGUAGUCCCAGCUACUCAGAAGGCUAAGGCAGGAGAAUUGCUUGAGCCCAGGAGGUCAAAGCUGCAGUGAGCUGUGAUUGUGCCACUGCACCCCAACCUUGGUGACACUGUCUUGAAAAAUAAUAAUUUCAAGAAUUGUAACUUCCAUACACAUACUGUGAGACCAUACUUCAGGGGUGUAAUUUAUGUUAGAAUCCUGGAUUGGAAGGGCUGCUGGAGCACUGUUAGUGAUGUCUCUCAGAUAGCUCCACAUCAUCUGUGCUCUUCAUCUGUGUGUUAGCACACUGGAUGUGAGAAAACAAAGGUUCCUCUGAGUUACCUUCCAGUGCACUGUUUUUCAGUUAAUGUGCCUUUUUAUUCCCUCUAUGUCAAAUGUGCUUCUGACUUCUAUGCCCAAUAUGUAAGAAUGUAUGUUUAUACUUCCUUGUUUCCUACAGAUUUUUCUAAUCUUUGAAGUCCCUAUUGCCUGGUAGAAUUAGGUAAAUUCUUUGUCAAACGUCUUCAAGUUUAUCAAGAAAAGCUGUUGUGAAAAAAACC
rnacentral:lncRNA from 1 species